AUUUAAUUUUUGUAUUACAUUGAAUCUAAUAUUAUUUGUAAUUCAUUGUGCUGGAUUUACUUAUCCUCAAUUAAAAUUACUGAAUAUUAUAUUUAGACAUGGUGAUCGAGAUUUGAAUGACGACUCUGACGGAGAUUUAACAAUCCGAGGCAGACAAAGAGCUUACUAUCUUGGUGAGAUACUUCGUGAGAAAUACGGAGAUUUCUUAGGUGACAUUUACGAACCUGCUGCCAUCUUUGCACAUUCUACCGAAUUCAGAAGAGCAAAACUGAGCUUACAGCUUCUUUUGGCUGCUCUUUACUUACCUAAGAAACAUCAACGGUGGCAUGAAUCAUUAGCCUGGCUACCAAUUCCAUUUUCUUAUGCUAAUGCGAAUGAAGACAUCUUUUUAUUUCCAACUAAUUGUCCACGGUAUGACGACAUCUGAUCGUUGAGAGUGAUUUU